rnacentral:rRNA from 1 species
AGAGUUUGAUCAUGGCUCAGGAUGAACGUUGGCGGCGUGCCUAAUACAUGCAAGUCGAACGGUAGUUGAGCAUUCGUGCUUGAUGAGAGUGGCGAACGGGUGAGUAACACGUAACUGAUCUGCCCUUUAGACUGGGAUAACCUUUGGAAACAGAGGCUAAUACCGGAUGAGUUCGCGGUAGUUAGAGAGCCGUGAGGAAAGGCUAAUGCGCUAAGGGAUGAGGUUGCGGGCCAUCAGCUAGUUGGUGAGGUAAAGGCUCACCAAGGCGAUGACGGUUAGGGGAUCUGACAGGGUGGCCCCCCACACUGGGACUGAGACACGGCCCAGACUCCUACGGGAGGCAGCAGUAAGGGAUAUUGCACAAUGGACGGUAUCUGAAGCAGCGACGCCGCGUGGGUGAAGAAGGUUUUCGGAUCGUAAAGCCCUUUUCUAUGUGACGAGAGAGGACGGCAGCAUAGGAAUAAGUGUCGGCUAACUACGUGGCCAGCA